GACGAACGCUGGCGGUGUGCUUAACACAUGCAAGUCGAGCGGAAAGGCCCCUUGGGGUACUCGAGCGGCGAACGGGUGAGUAACACGUGAGUAACCUGCCCUUAUCUUUGGGAUAACCCUCGGAAACGGGGGCUAAUACCGGAUAUGACAUUGCCGGGCAUCUGGUGGUGUGGAAAGUUUUUCGGAUAGGGAUGGGCUCGCGGCCUAUCAGCUUGUUGGUGGGGUGAUGGCCUACCAAGGCGACGACGGGUAGCCGGCCUGAGAGGGCGACCGGCCACACUGGGACUGAGACACGGCCCAGACUCCUACGGGAGGCAGCAGUGGGGAAUAUUGCGCAAUGGGCGGAAGCCUGACGCAGCGACGCCGCGUGAGGGAUGACGGCCUUCGGGUUGUAAACCUCUUUCACCCAUGACGAAGCGUAAGUGACGGUAGUGGGAGAAGAAGCACCGGCCAACUACGUGCCAGCAGCCGCCGUAACAC
rnacentral:rRNA from 1 species